AACGAACGCUGGCGGCGCGCCUAAUACAUGCAAGUCGAACGAGAAGGUGUAGCAAUACACUUGUACAGUGGCGAACGGGUGAGGAAUGCAUGGGCAACCUACCCUCGAGUGGGGAACAACCAGCCGAAAGGUUGGCUAAUACCGCGUACGCUUCCGGGUCUCCGGAUCCGGAAGGAAAGUCACACCGUGGGUGUGACGCUCAAGGAUGGGCUCAUGUCCUAUCAGCUUGNGGUGAGGUAACGGCUCACCAAGGCAACGACGGGUAGCUGGUCUGAGAGGACGAUCAGCCACACUGGCACUGCGACACGGGCCAGACUCCUACGGGAGGCAGCAGUAAGGAAUAUUGCGCAAUGGGCGAAAAGCCUGACGCAGCGACGCCGCGUGGGGGAUGAAGGUCUUCGGAUU
rnacentral:rRNA from 1 species